GGGGUGGAAAGGUAGACCUACUCUGUCUGGGGUGGAAAGGUAGACCUACUCUGUCUGGGGUGGAAAGGUAGGCCUACUCUGUCUGGGGUGGAAAGGUAGGCCUACUCUGUCUGGGGUGGAAAGGUAGGCCUACUCUGUCUGGGGUGGAAAGGUAGGCCUACUCUGUCUGGGGUGGAAAGGUAGGCCUACUCUGUCUGGGGUGGAAAGGUAGACCUACUCUGUCUGGGGUGGAAAGGUAGACCUACUCUGUCUGGGGUGGAAAGGUAGGUCUACUCUGUCUGGGGUGGAAAGGUAGGUCUACUCUGUCUGGGGUGGAAAGGUAGGUCUACUCUGUCUGGGGUGGAAAGGUAGGCCUACUCUGUCUGGGGUGGAAAGGUAGGCCUUCUCUGUCUGGGGUGGAAAGGUAGACCUACUCUGUCUGGGGUGGAAAGGUAGACCUAUUCUGUCUGG
rnacentral:lncRNA from 1 species